GGGAGCGGAUGGGUUCUGGUGAAUCUUGCCGGGCUUCAAACCCGGUGUGGGGCCCUAAUAAGGUCCUGGGUGGGUUCGAUUCCCACACGCUCCCGCCA
rnacentral:tRNA from 1 species